rnacentral:tRNA from 1 species
GUAGGUAGAGUUCAGUGAUAGAGUACAUGCUUAGUGUGCAUGAGGUCCUGGGUUCAACCCCCAGUACCUCCA